rnacentral:rRNA from 1 species
ACACACGGCGGGUGCUAACGUCCGUCGUGAAGAGGGAAACAACCCAGACCGCCAGCUAAGGUCCCAAAGUCAUGGUUAAGUGGGAAACGAUGUGGGAAGGCCCAGACAGCCAGGAUGUUGGCUUAGAAGCAGCCAUCAUUUAAAGAAAGCGUAAUAGCUCACUGGUCGAGUCGGCCUGCGCGGAAGAUGUAACGGGGCUAAACCAUGCACCGAAGCUGCGGCAGCGACGCUGAUGCGUUGUUGGGUAGGGGAGCGUUCUGUAAGCCUGCGAAGGUGACCUGUGAGGGUUGCUGGAGGUAUCAGAAGUGCGAAUGCUGACAUAAGUAACGAUAAAGCGGGUGAAAAGCCCGCUCGCCGGAAGACCAAGGGUUCCUGUCCAACGUUAAUCGGGGCAGGGUGAGUCGACCCCUAAGGCGAGGCCGAAAGGCGUAGUCGAUGGGAAACGGGUUAAUAUUCCCGUACUUGGUGUUACUGCGAAGGGGGGACGGAGAAGGCUAUGUUGGCCGGGCGACGGUUGUCCCGGUUUAAGCGUGUAGGUGUGUGUUCCAGGUAAAUCCGGUUCACUUUAACACUGAGGCGUGACGACGAGGCACUACGGUGCUGAAGCAACAAAUGCCCUGCUUCCAGGAAAAGCCUCUAAGCAUCAGGUAACAUCAAAUCGUACCCCAAACCGACACAGGUGGUCAGGUAGAGAAUACCAAGGCGCUUGAGAGAACUCGGGUGAAGGAACUAGGCAAAAUGGUGCCGUAACUUCGGGAGAAGGCACGCUGACACGUAGGUGAAGUGAUUUACUCAUGGAGCUGAAGUCAGUCGAAGAUACCAGCUGGCUGCAACUGUUUAUUAAAAACACAGCACUGUGCAAACACGAAAGUGGACGUAUACGGUGUGACGCCUGCCCGGUGCCGGAAGGUUAAUUGAUGGGGUCAGCGCAAGCGAAGCUCCUGAUCGAAGCCCCGGUAAACGGCGGCCGUAACUAUAACGGUCCUAAGGUAGCGAAAUUCCUUGUCGGGUAAGUUCCGACCUGCACGAAUGGCGUAAUGA